rnacentral:lncRNA from 1 species
UAAAAAUUAAAAAUUAAAAACAAAUCAAACUUACUAAAACAUAAUUCGAAUCUAUUAAUUAUUAUUACUGUUAUUACUAUUACUAUUAUUAUUAUUAUUUUGCUAAGAAAUUGCACAGAGUUAACUCCUACAUGAAAAGGGAGAUGUUAAAGAGACAACCUCAGACUUAAUAUUCAAAGAGGGUUCCCUUACCUGCACGAGGAGGAGCAGCCGAACCUUAUCAAAAGUGGUAGAUAGAACCCACCACUUAUAGCCAAAAUCUCAAAAAUCAUGGCGGAAAAGAAUAGCCCAACUGCCCAAGCCCACAAGGACGAACAC